CUCCCAGACCCCUCGGAGUCCUAGCACCCGGGACACUUCCGGCUCUGGGCAGCUGGCUCACUGGGAGGUCCGCGGGCGCCCCCUGCUGGCCGUGCCUGCGCCCCUUGCUGGCACACGGUUUCCUGCGCACUGCAAACGCGAGGCAGGGCAGCAGGCCUGAGGAAACUACAAGGUCUCACAGUGUGUCCGGAAUUGACUGACUUCAAGAAUGAAGCCACAGACCUCAUUGUGAGUGUAAGAACUUUUACAGUGCUUAAAAGAUGGUGAGUCCAGAGUUUGUUCCUUCUGACGUUCGGAUAUGUUCAGAGUUUCUUCCUUCCGGUGGGUUUGUGGUCUCACUGGUUUCAGGAAUAACCUGAAACCACCUCCGCGGUGAGUGUUACAGCUCAUGAAGGCAGCUUGGACCCAAACAGUGAACACCAGCAGGAUUUAUUGUAAAGAGUGAAGAAACAAAGCUCCACAGGGUGGAACGGGACCGGACCUGGUCGCCACUGCUGGCUGGGGCAGUCUGCUUUUAUUCUCUUAUCUGACCCUACCCACAUCCUGCUGAUUGGUCCGUUUUACAGAGCACGUUACAGAGAGCUGGUUGGUCCAUUUUACAGAGAGCUGAUUGGUCCAUUUUGACAGAGUGCAGAUUGGUGCAUUUACAGUCCCUGAGCUAGACACCAAGUGCUAAUUGGUACCUUUACAAUCCUUUAGCUAAACGCAGAGUGCUAGACAGAAAAGUUCUGUAAGUCCCCACUAGAUUAGCUAGAUACAGAGUACUCAUUGGUGUAUUUACAAACCUUGAGCCAGACACAGAGUGCUGAUUGGUGUAUUUACAAUCCCUUAGCUAGACAUAAAGGUUCUCCUAGUCCCCACUAGACCCAGGAGGAGCCCAGCUGGCUUCACCUAGUGGAUCCCUCACCAGGGCCGCAGGCAGAGCUGCCCGCCAGUCCCGCGCUGCAGGCCUGCAUUCCUCCGCACUUGGGCGGUCUAUGGAACUGGGCGCCGUGGAGCAGGGGGCGGUGCCCAUCGGGGAGGCUCCGGCCACGCGGGAGCCCACCACGGUGGAGGGGGGUUUGGGCAUGGCAGGCUGCAGGUCCCUAGCCCUGCCCCACAGGGAGGCGGCUGAGGCCCGGUGAGAAUUUGAGCGUGGUGUGGGUGGGCCAGCAGUGCUGGGGGACCUGGCACACCCUCAGCAGCUGCUGGCCCAGCUGCUAAGCCCCUCACUGCCCGUGGGUGGUGGUGCCGGCCGGCCCCUCCGAGUGCUGGACCCUCAGAGCCCAAGCCCGCCUGGAACUCACGCUGUUCCAUAAGCACCGCGCACAGCCCCUGUUCCCACCCGCACCUCUCCCUCCACACAUCUCCUCAAGCAGAGGGAGCCAGCUCCAGCCUGGGCCAGCCCAGAGAGGGGCUCCCACAGUGCCGUGGCAAGCUGAAGGGCUCCUCAAGCCCCGCCAGAGUGGACGCCGAGGCCAAGGAGGCGCCAAGAGCCAGGGCUGCUGGCACAUUGUCACCUCUCAACAAGACAGAUAAGAGUAAGUUGCAAACCAAGUUUUCCCAGAGAUGUAAGAUAUGUUGCAAAAGUAUCACAAGAUAAUUAAUGGCCUUUGUUCUCGCUUCUGUAAGCCUGCUUCCUGCUUCACGUAAUUCCCGCCUCAAAAUGCUUAAAAGGCAUUUGUUUUCUCUGUUCUAUGCUCAGACUUUCUGGAUGCAAUUCCACUGAGCUGGUGUACACCUAAAAAUAAAAACUUUACUGCAUCCCA